rnacentral:lncRNA from 1 species
UCAUGUUCUUGUCUGAUUGUUGGUCGACCGGUUAAUGAUACUUGUAUAGUCUAAGUGUCUAACACUACAUGAGUACUGAACUCAGGCGUAUAUAUGGUUAACUAGGAAUCGAUUGUUGACUUGUUUUAAAUGCAUAUUCUCAUUACUUGAAGCUAGAUCAUGGUAAGAGGCCAAGUCUAACUUAGCCUUAGCUUUUGAUUGCAUGAUAGGGGUAGAGUGAUUGUUAUUUUGGGUUGUCUGGGUUAGAUUCUAGGUUGCGGGUAAAGGCCGCCAGCUCACUGAGUAACAUUAGGUUACUCAUCCAACUCCGUUGUCCUUUUUGCUGGUUGCUUUAGGUAAGGAUGAUCGGAUCGCUUGGAGUUGGACGUUAGGACUGCCGGUGUAGAUUUUCAUGCCUUUUGUAAACGGUAUUGUGAAU